UGAACGCUGGCGGCGUGCUUAACACAUGCAAGUCGAACGAAGCACUUUAUUUGAUUUCCUUCGGGACUGAUUAUUUUGUGACUGAGUGGCGGACGGGUGAGUAACGCGUGGGUAACCUGCCUUGUACAGGGGGAUAACAGUUGGAAACGGCUGCUAAUACCGCAUAAGCGCACAGCAUCGCAUGAUGCAGUGUGAAAAACUCCGGUGGUAUAAGAUGGACCCGCGUUGGAUUAGCUAGUUGGUGAGGUAACGGCCCACCAAGGCGACGAUCCAUAGCCGACCUGAGGGUGACCGGCCACAUUGGGACUGAGACACGGCCCAAACUCCUACGGGAGGCAGCAGUGGGGAAUAUUGCACAAUGGGCGAAAGCCUGAUGCAGCGACGCCGCGUGAGCGAAGAAGUAUUUCGGUAUGUAAAGCUCUAUCAGCAGGGAAGAUAAUGACGGUACCUGACUAAGAAGCACCGGCUAAAUACGUG
rnacentral:rRNA from 1 species